CCUCUGACAGGGUAUACUGUAAGCAGCUUUGUACAGGGCGCAGGGACGAAAGCACCAUAAAUACUGCAUAAAGAAAUAAAGAGAGAGAGAGAGAGAGAGAGAGAGAGAGAGAGAGAGAGAGAGAGAGAGAGAGAGAGAGAGAGAGAGAGAGAGAGAGAGAGAGAGAGAGAGAGAGA